rnacentral:rRNA from 1 species
AUGCUAGCAAGAUGGGUAGCAUAUCUGCAGAGAUUUAACUAUCUCAUCAUGCAUAAAUCUGGAACAACUAACCGAGUGGUCGAUGCUUCGAGUCGUCGGGCAUGCCUCUUGACUUCUUUUGAGGCUGAACUUCCAGGCGUGGAUCAAAUAAAGAAGUUGGAUGAGAAUGAUGAAGACUUUGGCCAUGUUUGGGUAAAGCACAUCAGGGGCCAGCCAUUAGGUGAUGACUAUUUGGUGCAGGAUGUUUAUCUCUUCAAAAAUGAUCGUUUGUGCAUCCCAAGGAGUUCUCUGCGUGACAAACUAAUUAGAGAACUCCAUUCAAGUGAUCUUAGUGGCCAUGUUGGACGGGACAAGACUAUCGCUAACCUGGAAGCUCGCUACUUUUGGCCACAACUAAAGAGAGAUGCUGGAAAGUUUGUCCAGCGAUGCCCUAUAUGUCAAACCUGCAAAGGCCAAGUCCAGAACACAGGGUCAUACAUGCCUUUGCCUGUUCCUGUUGCUCCAUGGGAGUACAUCUCUAUGGACUUCGUCUUGGGUUUGCCAAGAACAAGACGAGGGAGUGAUGCCGUGUUUGUGGUCGUGGAUAUAUUCUCUAAGAUGGCUCAUUUCAUCCCAUGUCGCAAGACAACGGAUGCUCAUCAUGUGUCAAACCUAUUCUUCCGAGAAGUGGUCAGACUUCAUGGAGUUCCAAGGUCCAUUGUCUCAGACCGUGAUAGCAAGUUUCUUGCUGCAUUUUGGCUCACUUUGUGGAAGCAAUUCAACACUGAAUUGAAAUUUUCUAGCACUGCUCAUCCACAAACAGAUGGACGAACGGAAGUGGUGAACAAGUUUUUGGGUAAUCUGAUCCGUUGCAUUUGUGGAGAAAGAAAGGGACAAUGGGUUAUGGCUCUAUCUCUUGAAGAGUUCUCCUACAAUAACUCCAAGCAUAGAUCCACAGGAAGGAGCCCUUUUUCCAUUGUCUACACUAAAGUUCCAACACACUGGUGGACCUGA